UACAGAGGUCUCAACCGUUGUUCGGAUUCAUUGGGCGUAAAGGGUGCGUAGGCGGUCGGGUAAGUCGGAUGUGAAAUCUCAGGGCUCAACCCUGAAACUGCAUUCGAUACUGCUUGGCUAGGGUACUGGAGAGGAGACUGGAAUUUACGGUGUAGCAGUGAAAUGCGUAGAUAUCGGGAGGAACACCGGUGGCGAAGGCGGGUCUCUGGGCAACUCCUGACGCUGAGGCGCGAAAGCGUGGGGAGCAAACGGG
rnacentral:rRNA from 1 species